rnacentral:rRNA from 1 species
GUGGGGAAUCUUGCGCAAUGGGCGAAAGCCUGACGCAGCCAUGCCGCGUGAAUGAUGAAGGUCUUAGGAUUGUAAAAUUCUUUCACCGGGGACGAUAAUGACGGUACCCGGAGAAGAAGCCCCGGCUAACUUCGUGCCAGCAGCCGCGGUAAUACGAAGGGGGCUAGCGUUGCUCGGAAUUACUGGGCGUAAAGGGCGCGUAGGCGGACAGUUUAGUCAGAGGUGAAAGCCCAGGGCUCAACCUUGGAAGUGCCUUUGAUACUGGCUGUCUUGAGUACGGGAGAGGUGAGUGGAACUCCGAGUGUAGAGGUGAAAUUCGUAGAUAUUCGGAAGAACACCAGUGGCGAAGGCGACUCACUGGCCCGUUACUGACGCUGAGGCGCGAAAGCGUGGGGAGCAAACAGGAUUAGAUACCCUUGUAGUCC